AUUUUGAUAGAGAACAUUGGGAGAUGGGAACAAGAGAGACUAUAGGUUGAAAGUCCAACGUGGGCCAAAUAAAGAUGCUGGCACAGCUAUGUUCCUUUCUGGACGCUCCAGAGCAGUUUUGAAGAGGAAGAGGAACCAAAAUGAAGAGGAAGGUGGAGAUUUCCCAUAACCCUCACGCCGCAUGAUUCACGCGCUGCCAGAAGGCUCCAGGUGUUCCAAAUGCUCACCCUCUGCGGAUACCUCAUCAUCACUCCGAGGCUGGAGUUUACAUCCGGGUUCACGCUUGGAGUUGCAUGUGUUUGCACACGUGUAGAACGACCAUUCCAUCAUUAUGAUACCAGACUGAGAAGUUUCACUGCCUUAAAAUCCUCUGUGCUUCACCUAUUCAUCCCUCUCUCCCCUAAUCCCUGCCAUCACUCAUCUUUUUACUUGGGCAAAUGUCAGACAGGCUUCUUCACCGAGGAAGAUGCGUUUACGAUUCCUCCAUGUCUUUGCAUCACUUGAUAGCUCAUUUCUUUUUAGCCCUAGAUAAAAUUUAUGACUGGAUGGACCACAGUUUUUCCAUCCAUUCAGCUACUGAGGGACAUCCUGGUUGCUUCCAAGUUUUGAUGAGCACAAAUAAAGCUUCCACACGCUUGGUGUGGACGUUUUCAACUACUUUGGAUAAAUCCCA